GCCCAACAGCUAGCCCACCUAGACAACUUCAACAAACCCCUGUAAAUACCCCCUAAAUACCCCAGUAUUUAAAUUAAACAAACCAUUUUUCCCCCUUAGUAUAGGCGAUAGAAAAGGAGCUACGGCGCAAUAGAGAGAGUACCGCAAGGGAAUGCUGAAAGAGAAGUGAAACAACCCAGUUAAGCCCAAAAAAGCAGAGAUUUAACCUCGUACCUUUUGCAUCAUGAUUUAGCGAGUGUACCCCAAGCAAAGAGUACUUUAGUUUGACGCCCCGAAACUACGUGAGCUACUCCAAGACAGCCUAUUAAUAGGGCACACCCGUCUCUGUUGCAAAAGAGUGGGAAGAGCUUUGAGUAGAGGUGACAAACCUACCGAACCUAGUUAUAGCUGGUUGUCCAAGAAAUGAAUAGAAGUUCAGCCUCUUGGCUUCUCUCUUCACCCUAGUCUAACCCCUAUUGAUGCGUUAAGAAACCAAAAGAGUUAGUCAAAGGGGGUACAGCCCCUUUGAAUCAAGACACAACUUUACCAGGCGGGU
rnacentral:rRNA from 1 species